CAGACAGAGGGAGAAGCAGGCUCCCCAUAGGGAGCCAGAUGAGGGAUUCGAUUCCAGGACCCCAGGAUCACGACCUGAGCCGAAGGCAGACACUCAACGGCUGAGCCACCCAGGCAUCCCUGUCUUUGCAUUUCUAACACCUGCCAGGUGCUAUGCUGGGCACAGGGGUUCCAAAGCUGUACCUGGGUAACGGUGAAGGAGGUGGUCCAGGAAGAUUUCAGAGAGCAAGUGACUUCUGUCCUGGGCCUGGAAGACCAGAAGGCUUCCAACAGGCAAGGUAUUCUGCGCCUCUGAAGCGGCAGGGACUCUGCUAGAUUUGAUUUGCCAAGGCAAUUCUGAGAGCAAUACUACAGACCCUGGUCCCCGCUGGAUGGGGCCAGUCUUGAGCCCUUGCCCUACAGGGAGAGAGCUCCAUAUUGCAAAUGGCCCUAUGGGGAGGCCCACUUUGCAAGGAACUGGUGUCUUCACCCAACAACCAGUGAAGACUGGAGGCCACUCAACAUCUGCUUGAAAGCAGAGAUCCUUUCCAGUCGAGCCUUGAGAUGACCAUAGCCCCAACUGACACCUUGAUCACAGCCUCCGUGGGAGACCCUGAACUAGAGCCUUCCAAUAAGCUGCUCUCAACUUCUUGAGCUGCGGAAACUGUAAGAGAAUCCAUUUGUUGUUUACCGCUGCUAAGUUUGGGAGCUGACCUGUAAGUCACCUAUAGACAUCCGGCUGCCUUCAGCUUGUCUCUAGCUCCUGCCACACGAGCAUAGCUUCUGGGGUCUGGCAACACCACCUCCUCCCACAGCCCCCUAGUCCUACGGGUAGUGGCACCUUCCUACUGUGGCUAAUGUCUGUGUUGCCUGCAGGCCUUUCCUCGCCUUCCUACCCUCUGACCCAUGUAUCCAGCUGCUGGUGUUAACCCCCUGUGUUUUAAAUACCUAGAGUGGUUUCUGUUUCCAGCAUUGCAGGGUAAAGCAGUUCAUCUUCUGUGACACGUAGCCUCACUUGAGCCUUCACGAGUCUGUUUAGAGAAAGAAAAAAAUUAGCGUGGGACCAAGAGUCUUGUAGGUCCUAGAAUCAGUCUUCAGAAAUAAAAUAGGCCAAGACAGAAAGCCACCCGCUGAGCUACCAGGUCGCACACCACAGUUCCGAAAGGCGAUGACAGGGUGACGGAGCGGCCCUCCUCACCACUCCGGUCCACGGCAAGCAUUUGGAGCAGGAGGAAAAGGUGGGUGAGCGCGAGUGGGCAUUCUCCCACGGCAGCGGCCGUCCUGGGGAUCCUCUCUGUGCGGUCUCCCCGGGAUCACGGCAGCAGGAGGGGCCUCUAAGGUCGACCCGGGGCCACACGUGAUCUGGAGCUGAGGGCCAAGCUCACCUCCUCUGGGGCUCAGGCAGUCUCACCUAGGGGGGCUCCCCACUGCUUACGUCAGGGCCUGGUUGCUCUGGGAAUGGAGCGCAGCCCUUAGCAUGGUGAAGGAGUUUCUAGACUGCUGGAGGGCUGGUGCACCAGCAGAUACUGUGCAUCCUUUCCCCAGCUGGGCGAAGAAGUGGCUCUUUCCCAGCCCGACCUGGGAAAAGAGAAAAGGAGCCUCUGGGCUUGGAUCCUCAUCUUUCGAUCUCUUGCUUGGUUGGGAGCAGGGGCUGUUGGCUGGGGAGCUGUUUUCCUCAGAAACUCCGUCUGCCUCCAGCCCCCAGCCCUGUGAUAGCCUCUUGCGCGUGGGGCCAGAGAGGGAACGGAGCCCCAGAGAUCAGCCUCUGGCAUCUUUUGGCCCCUUAGGAGCGUACUGUCCUGUGCAACCAGCCAUCAUUCUUCAUUCCCCCUCUAGCCUGCGAUUCCCUCUCCCCUGCUUCUGGCACCUUCUCCCUUCCUCCUGUGUUAUUUCAUGGACCAGCACCUCCAAAGCCACCCCCCGGGCUCUGACGGAGGAAUUGGCAGGUUCCUCUGACACAGGCGGGCUCCGCAGCAGGCCGCGCUCCGAGAGGUGAUGAAUUGCCUCGGGGUGACCGUGCCCCCCUCAGCAGCGCGGACACCCAGCUGACGGAGGGACGGAGAGGACGCUGGCAAGAGGCAGGCCUGCUGUCAGAAACCCUCCGCGGAGUUUGCUUCCGAGCGCCCAGUCUGAGCAGAGAGAAGGGGUGGGCAAACGAGGGAAAUUAGGAAUGAAAUGGCUAGGAGGAUUAGAAGAUUGAUUUCACUCGCGCUGCAACUGUCAGCUGUUCGGGGAAUCUGGGCCAAGGCCUCAGCCAGAGCUGGAGAGAAGUUCAAGAACAAUGGCUCGUAAGAAAGACAGUUCCCCUCUACAGACCGCUGCUGCUUUCUCUUGCUGGAAGAGAUUUCACCAAGCAGCUCGGAACUGAC